UACGUAGGGGGCAAGCGUUGUCCGGAAUUACUGGGCGUAAAGGGCGCGUAGGCGGAUACUUAAGUCGGGGGUGAAAGCCCGGGGCUCAACCUCGGAAUUGCCUUCGAUACUGGGUAUCUUGAGUUCGGGAGAGGUGAGUGGAAUGCCGAGUGUAGAGGUGAAAUUCGUAGAUAUUCGGCGGAACACCAGUGGCGAAGGCGACUCACUGGCCCGAUACUGACGCUGAUGCGCGAAAGCGUGGGGAGCAAACAGG
rnacentral:rRNA from 1 species